rnacentral:rRNA from 1 species
GACGUUACUCGCAGAAUAAGCACCGGCUAACUCUGUGCCAGCAGCCGCGGUAAUACAGAGGGUGCGAGCGUUAAUCGGAUUUACUGGGCGUAAAGCGUGCGUAGGCGGCUUUUUAAGUCGGAUGUGAAAUUCCCGAGCUUAACUUGGGAAUUGCAUUCGAUACUGGGAAGCUAGAGUAUGGGAGAGGAUGGUAGAAUUCCAGGUGUAGCGGCGAAAUGCGUAGAGAUCUGGAGGAAUACCGAUGGCGAAGGCAGCCAUCUGGCCUAAUACUGACGCUGAGGUACGAAAGCAUGGGGAGCAAACAGGAUUAGAUACCCUGGUAGUCCAUGCCGUAAACGAUGUCUACUAGCCGUUGGGGCCUUUGAGGCUUUAGUGGCGCAGCUAACGCGAUAAGUAGACCGCCUGGGGAGUACGGUCGCAAGACUAAAACUCAAAUGAAUUGACGGGGGCCCGCACAAGCGGUGGAGCAUGUGGUUUAAUUCGAUGCAACGCGAAGAACCUUACCUGGCCUUGACAUACUAGAAACUUUCCAGAGAUGGAUUGGUGCCUUCGGGAAUCUAGAUACAGGUGCUGCAUGGCUGUCGUCAGCUCGUGUCGUGAGAUGUUGGGUUAAGUCCCGCAACGAGCGCAACCCUUUUCCUUACUUGCCAGCAUUUCGGAUGGGAACUUUAAGGAUACUGCCAGUGACAAACUGGAGGAAGGCGGGGACGACGUCAAGUCAUCAUGGCCCUUACGGCCAGGGCUACACACGUGCUACAAUGGUCGGUACAAAGGGUUGCCAAGCCGCGAGGUGGAGCUAAUCCCAUAAAACCGAUCGUAGUCCGGAUCGCAGUCUGCAACUCGACUGCGUGAAGUCGGAAUCGCUAGUAAUCGUGAAUCAGAAUGUCACGGUGAAUACGUUCCCGGGCCUUGUACACACCGCCCGUCACACCAUGGGAGUGGGUUGCUCCAGAAGUAGCUAGUCUAACCGCAAGGGGGACGGUACCACG